GGAGAGUUGUCCGAGUGGCUGAAGGAGCACGAUUGGAAAUCGUGUAUACGGGUGACCGUAUCAAGAGUUCGAAUCUCUUACUCUCCGCCA
rnacentral:tRNA from 1 species